rnacentral:rRNA from 1 species
CAGUCACGUCUGCCAGGACUCAGCCUUGCUUCUGCUUGGUGUACUUUCUGGUUUGAUGGGCCAACAUCAAUUUUGACCGUUGGAGAAAGGCUUUGGGAAUGUGGCACCUUAGGGUGUGUUAUAGCCCUUUGUUGUAUACAACGGUUGGGAUUGAGGACUGCAGCAUGCCUUCAUGGCCCGGGGUUACCCACGUACAUGCUUAGGAUGUUGGCAUAAUGGCUUUAAGCGACCCGUCUUGAAACACGGACCAAGGAGUCUAACAUAUGUGCGAGUGUUU